rnacentral:rRNA from 1 species
UACGGAGGUCCCAAGCGUUGUUCGGAUUCAUUGGGCGUAAAGGGUGCGUAGGCGGUCGGGUAAGUCUGAUGUGAAAUCUCACAGCUUAACUGUGAAACUGCAUUGGAUACUAUCCGGCUCGAGGAAUGGAGGGGAGACUGGAAUACUUGGUGUAGCAGUGAAAUGCGUAGAUAUCAAGUGGAACACCAGUGGCGAAGGCGAGUCUCUGGACAUUUCCUGACGCUGAGACACGAAAGCCAGGGGAGCAAACGGG